UCCCGUUUCCACUGGGGUGGGAAGAGGGAGGCUGCGGCGGGACCAGGCCUGCGGGGUUGAGGUGCGCUCGGGCUGUAGGCAGCUUCCAGGAGCCGGCGGCGUUUCUAGCGCAGCCCCCACAGGCCUCGGUUCCCAGCCAGCGGGAGCUGCAGAGCAGAUAGUGUCCAGCUACUGGUCGGUGGGCAACCAGUUCAGCAUGUGGAUGUCCACCAUUGGGGUCCUACUCAUGGAGGUUGUGAGGGCCAUCAACUCGAUCCUGCUGCGGAGGGUCAUCCACCUGGGAGACCUGGACCCAAUCGUGAUUGGAUUUGCUGCACUGGGGUUCCCAAACUGUGCAGGAGCCAUAGAUGGGACCCACAUACCGAUCCGCGCACCUGAGCAUCGAGUGGCUCAGCAUAUUAAUAGGAAAGGCUACUUCUCCAUGGUGCUGCAGGCCCUGGUUGACCACCGUGGACGUUUCACAGACAUUUUUGUUGGGUGGUUGGGCAGGGCUGACAAUGCGCACAUCUUUUGGAACUCCAGCCUGUAUGGGAAGUUGGAGGAGGGGACAUUCUUUCCUGCCGUGACUUUGUCAUUGGGGAUAUGCAGAUGCCACUGUGCAUUGUGGGGGACACAGCCUAAACCCUGAUACUGUGAUUUAUGAAGCCGUAUACCGGCCACCUGACCCCAGCAGGGACCAAUUCAAUGCCUGCCUGAACUGGGCCAGGAUUCAGGUCAAGUGCAUCUUUGGCCACUUCAAGGCAUGGUUCAGGUGCCUCCUGACCCGCCUCGACGUGGGAGAGCACAACAUCCCCGAGGUGGUCAUGGCAUGAUGUGUCCUCCACAACAUUGUGGAGAGGAAAGGGGAGGCCUUUCUCCCAGGGCGGGGGACAGAUGCCGGCUGCGAGGGAUGACCCUUUGAGCAGCCAUGGACAGCUGUCAUCUGCCAAGCUCAUCAGGUGCGCAACCGGGAAGCCCUGAGGGAGAGGUUCUCUGAAGGACCCCAGUAACUCUUCCCCAGAGCCUCUAGGAGCGUCUGGCUAGCUGCCCUAUACCUUCCCCACCACAACCCCUCCUUUCACCCCUUCCCUGACCUCUUAAAAAAGACACCUGUUGGAACAAGACGAACUCUGUAUUGAUUUUUCAGUAAAAACGGCUGGAAAGGGGGAGGGGGGCUCAUAAGCUGCAGGGGAGCUGGACUCAACCAGGAGAAGAGGAGGGCUUGGAGUGGUCUGGGGGGUGGCUGGAUGUGCCACUUGAUGGGACUGUCCCCAUAUGUAAAGUUACUUGUGGGGAAGGGUUUGAUGGGUCAGGUUUUAGACUCCAUCUAAACUUAAGGCUAUAUGUAUACUGUGCACCUAACAACAGCAUGACUGUGCCACUGCUGCGGGGUGGUUUUUCACACCCUCUACAUAAGAACAUAAGAACGGCCGUACUGGGUCAGACCAAAGGUCCACCUAGUGCAGUAGCCUGUCUGCCGACAGUGGCCAA